rnacentral:rRNA from 1 species
UACAUGGGGUGCAAACGUUGCUCGGAAUCAUUGGGCGUAAAGCGCGCGUAGGCGGUUGCUUAAGUCGGAUGUGAAAGCCCUCGGCUUAACUGAGGAAGUGCAUCCGAAACUGAGCAGCUAGAGUACGAAAGAGGGUCGCGGAAUUCCCGGUGUAGAGGUGAAAUUCGUAGAUAUCGGGAGGAACACCGGUGGCGAAGGCGGCGACCUGGGUCGAGACUGACGCUGAGGCGCGAAGGCCAGGGGAGCAAACGGG